rnacentral:rRNA from 1 species
GAUGAACGCUGGCGGCGUGCCUAAUACAUGCAAGUCGAGCGAACAGACGAGGAGCUUGCUCCUCUGACGUUAGCGGCGGACGGGUGAGUAACACGUGGAUAACCUACCUAUAAGACUGGGAUAACUUCGGGAAACCGGAGCUAAUACCGGAUAAUAUAUUGAACCGCAUGGUUCGAUAGUGAAAGACGGUUUUGCUGUCACUUAUAGAUGGAUCCGCGCCGCAUUAGCUAGUUGGUAAGGUAACGGCUUACCAAGGCAACGAUGCGUAGCCGACCUGAGAGGGUGAUCGGCCACACUGGAACUGAGACACGGUCCAGACUCCUACGGGAGGCAGCAGUAGGGAAUCUUCCGCAAUGGGCGAAAGCCUGACGGAGCAACGCCGCGUGAGUGAUGAAGGUCUUCGGAUCGUAGAACUCUGUUAUUAGGGAAGAACAAAUGUGUAAGUAACUAUGCACGUCUUGACGGUACCUAAUCAGAAAGCCACGGCUAACUACGUG